CUUUCCAUUGUCUGAUCUUAAUGUCUGAAUCCUGCACCCACUUUGGUUUUCCACCCAUGUUUUAUACUUCCAAAACACAUUAGCAACUUCUGAUUUGAAUUUAAGAAAGAAAAUCCAACAGAACCUGGAAUAAUCAUCAAUGAAGAUGAUAUAAUAUUUGCUGCCAUUCAGUGAAGCUGUACUCAAAGGACCUCCAACGUCUGUAUGUACCAGCUGAAGUUUUCGUGUUGCUCUCCAGGUUGCAUGAGGGAAAGGUUUUCUGGCCUGCUUACCAUAUUGACAUGCUGCACAGUUUGCUGACCUGUUCUCCAGUUGUGGUACUCCUUUUACAAGACCACUAUCAAUCAACCAAGAAUCAUUCGAACUAUUUCCUAUUGAAAAACAUGAUGCAACAAACAGCUGCUCCUCUUCAGGUUGUUGUGCAACAGGAUUCGCCUUUUCUUUAUUUUGUUGUGUCCUGCAGAUUUUUUCAACAUGUCCAAUCUGUCCACAUUUUCUGCACUUGAUAUCUGGUCUCCACCAGCACUUGAUCGGCUGAUGAUUUGUUUUUUUACAGUAGGUACAUGGUGGAAAUGUUUCCACCUUGUUUCUGUACGUUUGAACCUUUUUCUUCUUGAUGAAUCUCCUGUCUUUGCCUCCUCCUUGAUAUUGAGUUCUUGCUUGAAAAGCUCCCUGCAUUGAUUCUUCAA